GUUUUCUAUUUAUAGAUGUACAAUCUUCUUUAGGUGGAGUAAUACAUGGUCAGCCUAUAAGCCGACUCUAAUGGGCUGGUGAGCCCCUUUGAAUGCCCUUCCAGCCAUGAGUGCGCACCCUGUGAGCAAAGCUAGGAGUGUGGUGAUAGCUCACCAGGAGCUAUCCCAUACAAAUAUAUUAAGACCAGAAGAAAAGAGAUGAAUGAGAAGGAGAGAAAAGGAAAAGAGUAAGGAAAACCUAAAAAAACAAAAAAAAUCUAGCAAUGAAGGCUAGAAAAACCUUUCCAAGGGAGAAACCCUAAAGGGAACCAAAAACCUCCAAGGAAAAACUUUGAGAGAGAAAAAAGAUGAGGACGGUAAGUAUACUAAUCAUGGCUAGUAAUAUAUAUAUAUAUAUAUAGAAUUGAGAUCACUAGAUAACCAAGACCUAUAAUUAGAAUUAGGAAUUCAUCGUGACCGUUGAUCAUGCAUAAUCUGAUGGCUGUCAUCUUACCCGCCUCAUUAAGGGUAAAUUGUAAUUACGCGUUUUGAAUGACUAUCCCUGCUUUUUCGUUUCUUCUAUUUUCACUUUCUCUCUCUUCAUUCCAUUUUCUCUCUCCUCUUUCAAAUUCUCUCGUGCGACAGUUGCGGUCACUGAGCUCUUUGCAAGUCCUCUUCUCAAAUUCGCAACUUUUCAUCUUUGCUCAUUAUUCUAGCAAAUUUAUGGGCAGCCGAACAAAGAUUUGAAGGAGAUUAAUAAUGUGAAAGAUGAGAUAUCAAGGCUCCAAGUGAAACCAAUGUAUGUUUCCUUGAACUUGUCAUUGAUUCAACCUUGUGCUAUACUAUUCUAAACUCAAUCGCUUGAGUUUUAACCAUUACUGUAUUAAUUUACACGAGGCUGCUGGAGAAAGAUUUGUCAGGCUUGAGCAUGAAAGAAUAACAGCUGCUGGAAAAGCAACUCAAUGAAAGCCUAAUGUCCAUAAAAGCUAAGAAGGUGGCUUUAGUUUUGUGGUUCCUUUUGUUUAUUUCUGUCUUCUAUAUGAGGCUACUCGUAUUAUUGUUCGACAAGCACCCACAUUAAUAGAAAUUUAUGUGAAUAUUUGCUACUGUAGGACCAAUUACCUGUGCUAUACUAUUCUUACAUUUUUUUUUU